AUUGAACGCUGGCGGCAUGCCUUACACAUGCAAGUCGAACGGCAGCACGGGAGCAAUCCUGGUGGCGAGUGGCGAACGGGUGAGUAAAGUAUCGGAACGUGCCCAGUCGUGGGGGAUAACGUAGCGAAAGUUACGCUAAUACCGCAUACGAUCUAUGGAUGAAAGCGGGGGAUCGCAAGACCUCGCGCGAUUGGAGCGGCCGAUAUCAGAUUAGGUAGUUGGGGGGGUAAAGGCUCACCAAGCCGACGAUCUGUAGCUGGUCUGAGAGGACGACCAGCCACACUGGGACUGAGACACGGCCCAGACUCCUACGGGAGGCAGCAGUGGGGAAUUUUGGACAAUGGGCGAAAGCCUGAUCCAGCCAUGCCGCGUGCAGGAUGAAGGCCUUCGGGUUGUAAACUGCUUUUGUACGGAACGAAAAGGACUGCCCUAAUACGGUGGUCCCAUGACGGUACCGUAAGAAUAAGCACCGGCUAACUACGUGCCAGCCGCCGCCGUAAUAC
rnacentral:rRNA from 1 species